AAACCCAAUAAAUACAAAACCAAAUAAAAUAAAUUCUAAAUAAUAAAAACAGUUUAAUUUCUUUACAAAUUUAGCCCAAAAAUAAAACUAUUUUAGCCCAUCUAAAUUACUCAACACCAUACCCAAAUAUUAGCCCAAACCCGAGCCCAAAAUGCUCUAACCCAGUUCAUAGGGCCCGAUUCAAAAUGAAACCCUAGCCUUCAAACAAUUUUCAGCUCCAGCCGCCGCACGAGGAAACUGGUUCGUCCGCGCGAGUGCCAGCAGUCUUCGACGCCAGAUCCACGCGCUCCAUUUCCAGGCUGGAUGGGCACCUGCAACAAACAAAUGCAAGAGAAAUAGAAACAAACAGUACCCACGGAAAAAAAACGAAAACGGAUAACAAACAAAAAGGGCAACAGAAAAAGAAAAUAGAAAAAAUAGCAGAGAAAAAUAUAUGUAUUUUGAUUCUUUUUUUUUUGUAUUUAUUUUUUCUUUUCUAUUCGAUUCGGCUAUAUAAAGCCAGUUCCAACGUUGUAAAAGGGGGACGAUAUUCUGGCUAUAUAAAACCAUUUUCAUUAUUUGUAAAAGGGGGUCCGGUUUUUUUUAAAAAAAAUCAAUAAAAAGGAAAAAAAACGAUGAACAAAAGAAGGUGAUUCUUCAUUUUUUCUUUUCUCUGUUACUUUGAGAUUUGUUUUCUUUACUAGCAAAAUAGAAGAGAAAUACGAGAGGGGCUUACCUGUGUUUCAGAACUGACGAGUCGUCGAGUCCUGGUCGGCUUCGUUGUGAUCGGAGAUCAAAAGGGACGGAGUUUUCAUUGCGGCACGAUUUUGAUUGAAAGGGGGCUAGGGUUUUUAGUUUGUUUCUUUUCGUUUCU
rnacentral:lncRNA from 1 species